CGGACGGGUGAGUAACGCGUGGGUAACCUACCCUGUACAGGGGGAUAACAGUCAGAAAUGACUGCUAAUACCGCAUAAGACCACAGCACCGCAUGGUGCAGGGGUAAAAACUCCGGUGGUACAGGAUGGACCCGCGUCUGAUUAGCUGGUUGGUGAGGUAACGGCUCACCAAGGCGACGAUCAGUAGCCGGCUUGAGAGAGUGAACGGCCACAUUGGGACUGAGACACGGCCCAA
rnacentral:rRNA from 1 species